rnacentral:rRNA from 1 species
AUUGAACGCUGGCGGAAUGCUUUACACAUGCAAGUCGAACGGCAGCACGGGGCAACCUGGUGGCGAGUGGCGAACGGGUGAGUAAUACAUCGGAACGUGCCCAAUCGUGGGGGAUAACGUAGCGAAAGUUACGCUAAUACCGCAUACGAUCUACGGAUGAAAGCGGGGGAUCGCAAGACCUCGCGCGAAUGGAGCGGCCGAUGUCAGAUUAGGUAGUUGGUGGGGUAAAGGCUCACCAAGCCAACGAUCUGUAGCUGGUCUGAGAGGACGACCAGCCACACUGGAACUGAGACACGGUCCAGACUCCUACGGGAGGCAGCAGUGGGGAAUUUUGGACAAUGGGCGCAAGCCUGAUCCAGCCAUGCCGCGUGAGUGAAGAAGGCCUGGUGUAAGCUCCUUCGGUCGGGGUAAGGAAAGUGG